AAUGAACCGGCGAGUUACGAUUUGAUGCAAGGUUAAGCAGUAAAUGUGGAGCCGUAGCGAAAGCGAGUCUGAAUAGGGCGUUUAGUAUUUGGUCGUAGACCCGAAACCAGGUGAUCUACCCUUGGUCAGGUUGAAGUUCAGGUAACACUGAAUGGAGGACCGAACCGACUUACGUUGAAAAGUGAGCGGAUGAACUGAGGGUAGCGGAGAAAUUCCAAUCGAACCUGGAGAUAGCUGGUUCUCUCCGAAAUAGCUUUAGGGCUAGCCUCAAGUGAUGAUUAUUGGAGGUAGAGCACUGUUUGGACGAGGGGCCCCUCUCGGGUUACCGAAUUCAGACAAACUCCGAAUGCCAAUUAAUUUAACUUGGGAGUCAGAACAUGGGUGAUAAGGUCCGUGUUCGAAAGGGAAACAGCCCAGACCACCAGCUAAGGUCCCAAAAUAUAUGUUAAGUGGAAAAGGAUGUGGCGUUGCCCAGACAACUAGGAUGUUGGCUUAGAAGCAGCCAUCAUUUAAAGAGUGCGUAAUAGCUCACUAGUCGAGUGACACUGCGCCGAAAAUGUACCGGGGCUAAACAUAUUACCGAAGCUGUGGAUUGUCCUUUGGACAAUGGUAGGAGAGCGUUCUAAGGGCGUUGAAGCAUGAUCGUAAGGACAUGUGGAGCGCUUAGAAGUGAGAAUGCCGGUGUGAGUAGCGAAAGACGGGUGAGAAUCCCGUCCACCGAUUGACUAAGGUUUCCAGAGGAAGGCUCGUCCGCUCUGGGUUAGUCGGGUCCUAA
rnacentral:rRNA from 1 species